ACUGCUCAGUAACACGUAGUCAACAUGCCCAGGGGACGUGGAUAACCUCGGGAAACUGAGGAUAAACCGCGAUAGGCCAAGAUUUCUGGAAUGAAUCAUGGUUUAAAUCUAUAUGGCCCCUGGAUUGGACUGCGGCCGAUCAGGCUGUUGGUGAGGUAAUGGCCCACCAAACCUGUAACCGGUACGGGCUCUGAGAGGAGGAGCCCGGAGAUGGGCACUUAGACAAGGGCCCAGGCCCUAUGGGGCGCAGCAGGCGCGAAACCUCUGCAAUAAGCGAAAGCUUGACAGGGUUACUCUGAGUGAUUUCCGCUAAGGAAGUCUUUUGGCACCUCUAAAAAUGGUGCAGAAUAAGGGGUGGGCAAGUCUGGUGUCAGCCGUCGCGGUAAUACCAGCACCCCGAGUGGUCGGGACGAUUAUUGGGCCUAAAGCAUCCGUAGCCGGUCCUGCAAGUCCUCCGUUAAAUCCACCCGCUCAACGGUUGGGCCGCGGGGGAUACUACAGGGCUAGGAGGCGGGAGAGGCAAGCGGUACUCGAUGGGUAGGGGUAAAAUCCACUGAUCCAUUGAAGACCACCAGUGGCGAAGGCGGCUUGCCAGAACGCGCUCGACGGUGAGGGAUGAAAGCUGGGGGAGCAAACCGGAUUAGAUACCCGGGUAGUCCCAGCUGUAAACGAUGCAGACUCGGUGAUGGGCUGGCUUCGUGCCAACCCGGUGCCGCAGGGAAGCCGUUAAGUCUGCCGCCUGGGGAGUACGGUCGCAAGACUGAAACUUAAAGGAAUUGGCGGGGGAGCA
rnacentral:rRNA from 1 species